CCCCGUGGGGUCCCUUUGGGGUCGGGGGGGGACGUGGGGACACUUGUGGGGUCCCGUCCCCACCUGGAGCUGCAGCCGCAGCCGGGCGCCCUCGCUGCGCGCCGCCAGCACCGCCGCCGCCAGCGCCUCCGCCUCGGCCAGCAGCUGCUUGGUCUGGGGCACGGGGACAUUUGGGGGACAUUUGGGGGAUAUGGGGGGGAUAAGGGGAUGGGGACAUGGGGACGGGGACAUGGGGAUGGGGACACGGCGCUGCGAUGCACGGUAACGGGGGUGGCGCGGUCCCCCCCGAGGGUCCUGGUCAUGAGGGAGGGUGGGGUGGGAAGGGGGAGAGUGGGGAUGGGGAUGGGAUGGGGUGGGAAUAGGGCAAUGAUGGGGGCAGCAAUGGGAUGGGGAUAGGGCUGGGGACAGGGAUGGGAUGGGAAUGGGAUGGGGAUGGGGACAGGGAUGGGAAUGGGGUGGGAUGGGAAUGGGAUGGGAAUAGGACAGGAUGGGGACAGGAAUGGGGCAGUGAUGGGGACAGGAACGGGAUGGGAUGGGAAUGGGAUAGGGACAGCAAUGGGAUGGUGAUGGGGACAGGAAUGGGGACAGGGAUGGGAUGGGGAUGGUGACGGGAUGGGAAUGGGACGGCGAUGGGGACAGCAACAGGAUGGAGAUAGGGACGGGAACGGGACCGUGACGGGGACAGCAACGGGAGCGAGGUGCUGAUGGGGACAGCGAUGGGAAGGGGCCGACGAGGGCACGGGGCCAGCGGGAGCGACGGGCGCAGGGCCGGGGAGGGGGCAGCAGCCCGGCCUCACCUUGGCCUCCCUGUCCCCGGCCUCCUCUCCCCGCCGCCUCCUCGGCCUCCAUCUCGGCCACCAGCUGCAGGGCCUCGUGCUGGGACCUCGCCAGGGCCUCCAGCCGCCGCUGCAGCUCCCGCAGGACGCAGGCGGCGGGGAGGGGGCCGCCGGCCUCGUCCUCCCCCACCCCCCUGCCCAGGCGGUCCCGCAGCGCCUCCAGCUCCCUCCGCUGCCCCGCCAGCCUCCGCCGCAGCCUCGCUGCCUCCUCCCGCUUGGCCUCCAGCGCCCGGCACAGGGCGCCCACCCGGCUGCCCCCUUCCCCCGCCGCCCCCAGCUGGGGGUCCCGCACCCGCAGCGCCCGCAGCUCCUCCCGCAGCCUCCCCCUCUCGAGGCGCAGCCGGGCCAGCUCGCCCGCCAGGCUCCCGUUGCGCUCCUUCAGCUCCUGCACCUCCGCGCCCCGUCCCGCUCCCUCCUGGGGGGCGCGGGUCCCCCCCGGCCCCGUGGGCUCUUCCUCAGCCUUCCUCCUCCUCCUCCUCCUCCUCCUCCUCGCCAGCUCCUGCCCGUGCUCGGCUGGAGGAGCGAGGCCGGAGCCUUCAUCAUCAUCCUCAUCCUCGGCCUCGCUGCUGGCACCGGGUGGGGGCCGUGCCAGGUCCUGCACCCGCUGGAGGAGGCCGGUGCCACGCUCACCCCGCUGCUCCUCUUCCUCCUCUUCCUCCUUUUUAUCUUCCUCCUCCUCCUCCUCCUUCUUCUCCUCUUCCUCGCUGCUCUCUCCACAGCCCAGGGGGCCCUGCGGGCCGAGGCAGUGGGGUGCAGCCCCCCGCCACACCGCGGUUCCCCAGGGCCCCCCACCCCGAGCCCCCUACCUGCAGCUCAGGGUCCCCAGCGCCACCAGAUCCGUUCUCUGCCGGCAGAAGGAGAAGUAAAAAAAAAAACCUCUUUUCCCCCUUUUUCUCAUAAAAACCACCGAGCGAGGCCACGGGGGUGCUGCGGGGGGGCUCACCUCGCUGCGCGCGGCCGUGGCCCCCGUGGUGCCGGAGCUGCGCGGCCGCCUCCGUGCCGCCGUGCUCGUGGGCCAGGUCCAGGGCUGUCCUGCGGGACGGGGACGGGGACAGCGGGGUGGUGGCACGAGGGGCGCGGUGGCACGAGGACGCGCGCCCCCUCCCCGUGCCCCCCCGCGGCCGCUCACUUCUCGUCCCUGUCGGCGAGGUCGGGGUCGGCGCCGCUCUGCAGGAGCUGGGCGCAGACGGCGGCGUGGUUCCCCCGUGCCGCCAGCAUCAGGGGUGUCUGGCCGUGCUGGGGGGGGGUCACAGAGCUUCCGUCAGCUCCUGCCACCCCCCCCAGGUCCCCGUAACCCCCCCCAGGUCCCCGUCACCCCCCCAGGUCCCCGCUCACGGCGUCGGCGACGUCCAGCGGGGCCCCGUGUGCGCAGAGCAGCAGCACGCUGGAGGCGCAGCCCGAGGAGGCUGCAGGGGGGGAGCAUCAGCACGGGGUCGGCUCCCCCUUAUGGGGGUGGGCGAGGGGUGAAGCCCCCCACCCAUCCCAGCCCAUGGUGGGGCCCCCCUGGCACUCACCGGCCCAGUGCAGGGGGGUGCGGUGCUGCCCGUCCACGUGGCGCGUGUCGGCACCGUACUGCAGGGGACAGGGGCACGGGAAGGGGCCUGGGGGUCCUGCCCUGCGCCCCCGGCCCCGUUCCCAGCCUUGUCCCCAUCCCCAUCCUUCUUCUUGUCCUCAUCAUCAGCCCCAUUUCUGUUCCGUCCUCGUUCUUAUCCCAUUUCUCACCCCCAUCCCUGUCCCUACACAUAUCCCGAUCCCACUCCCUGUCCCUGUCCUUGUCCCUGUCCCUGUCCCUGUCCCCGUCCCCGUCCCCAUCCCCAUCCCCAUCCUCAUCCUCAUCCUCAUCCUCAUCCUCAUCCCACUCUUGGUCUCGUGUUUAUUCCCUUCCCUUCCCAUCCCAUCCCAUCCCAUCCCAUCCCAUCCCAUCCCAUCCCAUCCCAUCCCAUCCCAUCCCAUCCCAUCCCCUCCCCAUUCCCCACCUCCCUCUCCAGCCCCAUCCCGUCCCCAUCCCGUCCCCGUCCCCAUGGGGCCGGUACCUGCAGCAGGACCUUGACGCACUGGGGCUGGCAGCCGAUGGUGGCCAGGUGCAGCGCGGUGCUGCCUGCAAGAGCGGCUGGCACCGGGGGCCACGGGGACACCGGGGGGGGGGGGACAACACCCCCCCAGCUGCAAACACGGGCACCCC
rnacentral:lncRNA from 1 species